CUUCGUCUUAAAUUGGUCAUCCCUCAAUGGAAUUAAAUAGCCGAGAUUUUCCUCGUUUCAAUAUCUGUAAAAACACUUAUCUUUCUGCUAAGCUUUUGGAACUAUCCGAUGGCAAAAAGGCAAAUAAAUCUGCACUUGAAUACUGGGAAACUUGAUAAAUUAUCAUUGCCUGAGAGAAUUUGAAUUUCGCGAUUUGCAAGGACUGCCGCAGUUGGCAGGCGUCUCUGCGAAUUUCACGCACUGAUGCCUCCGAACAGAAGGCAUCCUUCGAAGCUGACUAGUUGGUCCAUUGACAGAAGCCUUGGAAACAGAAACAGCAGCACCAGGAACCGGAUAUGCCAAUGAAAUUAAACCAAAAUGCCUGCCCAUUUACCAGGGCGGAAAGCUGACAAGGACAACAAGGACCUCUACGAGUGAAGGAUUGACUGGAGCGUUCAGAUUAGCCAGGCAAUGUGUUCUGAGAUCCAUGACUUGUAUGGUCAAAAUAACUGUUUGGACUAUCGUUAAGUUCUCAAGGCAAUUAAAUGUUCAAUAUUCUUUUAGAUGAACUUAAAAUGCAAUGUUCAAAGAAUACUUAUAGAUAAGCCCAAAGUUAAAAAUACAAAUAAAAUUACAAGACUCUUUGAAACUUCAAUCAAAAAACCAAGUUGAAACCUCUAAAAAGUUGUCAAGCGACUGAAAUUUGCAGCCUGCUGAGGAGUACUUAAAAAGUUUAAAUUACAUUUAAGUUUACUUAGUGAAACUUCAGUGCGUCUAACUGAAAAGUGCCCCAAAAAUCUGGGCGAAAUUCGGUUGCAAAUUAUGGCAAGAACACCUUGUCGAAUUGCCAGAACAACGACGUCGCGCUGUCUGGCUUUUGUUCUCUGACAUUUGAGCAGCAGGCAAACAAGGAUGACAAACAUACCCACACUCACACACUGGCCAGCGAGUAUGUGAGUGUUGAAGCCUUUGUGCCAGUUAGCCAAAUUGUAGCAAACA